ensembl:lincRNA
GAAAUUAAUGCUAUUGUUUGCUGGAUGUCAUCAGUCAUCUAUUCUCUCACUCUCAUCACAUUCAUCUAUUCUUCACUCCAUUAAAUACAACACAACGGCUCUUUUAAGAGCCAUCAUUAGCUAAAAUCUCACUCAAUUUCUCUCUCUCUCUCUCACUCUCUCUCUCAUACUCAUCUUCU